UUUAAUUACAAUUGAACACAAUAUUUAAGUUUUACUGCAUUGCUUAUAAAAUAUAAGUAGAUUCUACUAAUUUGUAGACAUAUUUGAACCUGUGAAUAAACUUAAGUUAAAUUAACUCGUAUUAUGAAAUUUAUCUCCUGACCACGCCUCCUCCACCGGUGCUGCGAGUAACAGCGCCAUUUUGUCACUGUGAUUGUGUAUGAAUUUAAGCUGUGGAUGAAUGUGGAAAUUUAGAUUUAGAUAGUUCUAUUGGCAUUGUUUUCCGCCAUUUAUCUUUUAUCACGUCCCUCGAGAAACUCUUUGUGAUCGGCAAAAGUUGUUGUUCGUCUAAACGACGGGACAUUUCUCAUCCGUUGAUAGCUAGUGUUCUCACUCGCCUGCGCUUGAACCCCUGACUGGCGAGUUCGACUAACAUUUUUUGUUUUUUUCUUUCAAUGAUUUCUUUUUCACUCGAGGAGCUGUUGUUUGUGAGGAGUGUAAAUUUAGUUUUACUCAUACAGUAGCCGCGAUUCCAGCCGAGGAGCGACAAAGGUGGAGCUAAUAUGGUUCAGAGUCCUCUUAACGACUAUCUUGUUUUGGAAGAAAGAAGAAAUGGAAGAGAUGCUUUGAAAGUGAGGCAGCUGACAAGACAGACUUCAGUAAGGAUCCUCAGCGUUGAUCAAGAAAGUUCACAGCUCACCUCAUCUAGAGUGGGAAUCAUCUUGGAAGAAAGCUUGGUAAUGGAUGAACUGACCAAUCUCAGGCCUUCUAUGUCCAUUGUUUUCAGACUGAUUUCCCUGCCUACACCUGGACUAUCCUAAGUGUAUGAAAAGCAUUUUAUAUUUUUUGUCGGGAAAAGAUGAGCUGACACCUAAAA